rnacentral:rRNA from 1 species
CAGCCGCCGCGGUAACACAGAGGAUGCGAGCGUUAAUCGGAUUUACUGGGCGUAAAGCGUGCGUAGGCGGCUAAUUGAGUCGGAUGUGAAAUCCCCGAGCUUAACUUGGGAAUUGCAUUCGAUACUGGUUAGCUAGAGUGUGGGAGAGGAUGGUAGAAUUCCAGGUGUAGCGGUGAAAUGCGUAGAGAUCUGGAGGAAUACCGAUGGCGAAGGCAGCCAUCUGGCCUAACACUGACGCUGAGGUACGAAAGCAUGGGGAGCAAACAGGAUUAGAUACCCCUGUAGUCCCUGUCUCUUAUAC